rnacentral:rRNA from 1 species
UACGAAGGGGGCUAGCGUUGCUCGGAAUCACUGGGCGUAAAGCGCACGUAGGCGGAUUGCUAAGUCAGGGGUGAAAUCCUGGAGCUCAACUCCAGAACUGCCUUUGAUACUGGCGAUCUUGAGUCCGGGAGAGGUGAGUGGAACUGCGAGUGUAGAGGUGAAAUUCGUAGAUAUUCGCAAGAACACCAGUGGCGAAGGCGGCGAGCUGGUCCAUUACUGACGCUGAGGCGCGACAGCGUGGGGAGCAAACAGG